AUGGCCAGACACCAAUGUUUUAAUUGCUCUUCCACAUCCCCCACAGAUAGAAGCCUUGAUGCAGACAAUUCCCCCAAGCCCACCACUUUUUUCCCUUCAAUUGCUGAAACAACACUUCACAAUGCUGGAACGUAUCUUUGUCUUCUCGAGAAUUUUUUCCGUGAUGUUAUCAAGAUAGAUUGGAAAGAGAAGAGUGGCAAAACAAUUCCACAAUCCCAGCAGGGAAACACUAUGAAGACUAAGGACACAUUCAUGAAAUUCAGCUGGCUGACUGUGAUGGGAGCAUCAAUGGAUAAAGGAUACAAAUGUGUCAUCAAACAUGAGAGAAAUAAAGGAAGGGUUGAUCAAGAGAUUCUGUUUUCUUCCCAGAUAAAAGAGCUCACUGCUAUUACCUCAACAAAAUAUUCUCUGAAAGAUAAAAAUGAUCCCCUGCAGCUGCAGCUCAUGAACACCUCUGCCUACUACACCUACCUCCUCCUCCUCCUCAAGAGCCUGGUCUACUCCGUCGUCAUCACCUUCUAUCUGCUUGGGAGACCAGCAUUCUGUGGCAAUGGGAAGAGUUCCUAACACAUGGUGACACCAAAGGUCCCCUUUUCUCCAUUGGCUAUUGUGGCUAAAAGUGUCUGCUGAGGAUCUAGUGUGGCUUUCUCUUAUUUCAGUUCAAGUGUGUCUUUUGUUAGAGCCAUUACUGUAGAUUGGGUUUACAAACCACUGGGCACACAGAAACUUUCACUCUGUAGCAGGAACAAAUUCCGCCAUGACUUACGCAUGGGGCCAGAAAGCCAUCUCCGGGGCUUGAGCGCUGCUCUCUCCUUAACGUCCAUCAGCUCCUCAGGCACUCGACAACCAUGCCUCUGAGUUCAGCCAACACACAGCUUCCAGUUGCAUCUCCUGAGGCUC